GUUUUGCAUUUGGCAUUAUUAUUGAAUUGGAACUAAUACGCAAAUACCAACACCGUGAUUAUCGCCAACAUCUUCAUCAUCCUGACCGUCAUCGCAGUCAUAGCUGUCAUCUGCACUGACCUGUAACUCCAUUAACUGGUCGAAUGUGGUCAAAUUAUGGCAUACAAUAGGGCCUUUAAGUGUUUUGAGGUGAAAUUCCAUUCACGCUGCAAUCGUUUCUUCAUGGGCUUAUUUAAAUACAUUCAUUAUUGAUAUGCCAAAUACUCGUACGUCGGUAGUUUUUGUUUUUCCAAUUAGAAUGGGCCUUUGUUCGCUGCUUCUGCCCACCAGAACUACCAUUAUCACCUCAUUAAAACUGGUAAGCCCACACGCAGACACACCGACUUUCGUUCAGGCUAAAAUUAAAUUUAUAAUGACAGCUACAGCAAACAAACAAACAAACAAGUAAACAAAAACCCAGCAGAACCCUCCUACAAUUAUGGCCAAAAGUUGUACGAUUCGGCUGAAAUAUAAUCAGUUCAGUUCUGGCUUCUAUGCUGCAUAUAUUUCAUGACACAUACAUACAUAGAGACAUACAUACAUACAUACAUGUGUACAUGUGUAAGCACCGAUCAUGCAGUUCUCACCAUCGUAUUUUUGUUCGUUUGUUUAUUUU
rnacentral:lncRNA from 1 species